rnacentral:rRNA from 1 species
GUCCACGCCGUAAACGAUGUAUACUAGGUGUUGGCCUUUUGGUCAGUGCUGCAGUUAACGCAUUAAGUAUACCACCUGGGGAGUACGUCGGCAACGAUGAAACUCAAAGGAAUUGACGGGGGCCCGCACAAGCGGUGGAGCAUGUGGCUUAAUUCGAUGCAACGCGAAGAACCUUACCUGGGCUAAAUCCACAUCGCAACCUCUGGAAACAGAGGGUUUCUUCGGAACGAUAUGGAAGGUGCUGCAUGGCU